UACGGGGGGGGCAAGCGUUGUUCGGAAUUACUGGGCGUAAAGGGUUUGUAGGUGGCCAACUAAGUCAGACGUGAAAUCCCCUCAGCUUAACUGGGGAACUGCGUCUGAUACUGGAUGGCUUGAGUUUGGGAGAGGGAUGCGGAAUUCCAGGUGUAGCGGUGAAAUGCGUAGAUAUCUGGAGGAAUACCGGUGGCGAAGGCGGCAUCCUGGACCGAGAUUGACACUGAUGAGCGAAAGCUAGGGGAGCAAACGGG
rnacentral:rRNA from 1 species